rnacentral:lncRNA from 1 species
ACAGUUCUAAAACAAUAAAGAAACUUCCAUAAAACAAAAAUAUUAAAAAUAAAAAUAUAAUGUUUGAUUUCCGAAAUAAACAAGCAAUACCAGGACUGAAUCGGGAUGGGCUUUAAAUUCUAACCUCGGCUCAAAAGCAGUUCACUUUCAGCAUCACCCCGCAGAUCAUAUGCAAAAUAGCAACCUAAGACAACAAGAUAUUAGGGAUUCUGACCUAAUGCAAAGGGCAAAACAUAAUUCACAUAAAAUUGAGAAAUUAACUAGAAAAAUACAAGAAAUGCUUAGUAUUUUAUCUAAAUUUAAAGGGUUUUUCUGGUCCAGGGAAAAAUUUACUGGGUCAGAGGAACUUUUUCUGCAAUUUUUGCAAAGCAAUGAAAAAUGGAAAUCAAAUUUCAUAUUUUUAAUUUUUUAUUGUUUGAUUGGCCAAAUUUUUACUUGAAUUCGAAUUUCAGCUUUUAGGCCACCUAAAC